GAUGAACGCUGGCGGCGUGCUUAACACAUGCAAGUCGAACGGAAAGGCCCAAGCUUGCUUGGGUACUCGAGUGGCGAACGGGUGAGUAACACGUGGGUGAACUGCCCUGCACUUCCGGAUAAGCCUGGGAAACUGGGUCUAAUAUCGGAGAGGACCUCUUCUUGGAUGUUGUGGUGGAAAGUAUUUUCGUUGUGGGGUUAGCUCGCGGGGUAUCAGCUUGUUGGUGGGGUAAUGGCCUGCCAACGCGUUGACGGGUAGCCGGACUGAGGGGGUGUACGGCGACACUGACACUGAGGUAAGGCACAGGCACCUACGGGUGGGAGCUGGGGGGAAGCUUGCACGAGCGGCGCCAGGCUAGUGCUGAGGGGCUGCGGGGGGGAUGACGCCGUUAGGGUUGAAGACUACAUUCGCUAGGGACGAUGCGUUUUGUGACGGUACCUAGAGAAGAAGCACCGGCUAACUACGUG
rnacentral:rRNA from 1 species